rnacentral:rRNA from 1 species
UACGAAGGGUGCAAGCGUUAAUCGGAAUUACUGGGCGUAAAGCGCGCGCAGGCGGUCAGAUCAGUCUUAUGUUUAAACCCAAGGCUCAACCUUGGAUCGCAUAGGAAACUGUUUGGCUUGAGUGCAGAAGAGGAGAGCGGAAUUCCACGUGUAGCGGUGAAAUGCGUAGAGAUGUGGAGGAACACCAGUGGCGAAGGCGGCUCUCUGGUCUGUAACUGACGCUGAGGCGCGAAAGCGUGGGGAGCAAACAGG